AUGUUCCUUACAGUUCAGUCAGCAAUGGAAUUGUGGGGCAGAAGAUGGAUGGCUGCAGGGUUCCUGCUUCUUGAGAAGUUAAAGAUUGGGAAACCAUUGUUUAAUUGCCUCAUUCAUCAGAUGUCACCGCCUUAUCUGAACUCCCAUGCAGAUCUCCACAUAGCACAGCAGAAAAGACAACAGGCUGGAAGGCAGAUAGAUCUUGAUUAAAUCUUGGUCGAUUUCUUAACCUCUCUGAGCCUCAACUCUCUAUUUGGGAAAUACAAACUCUUUUAUAGGAUUUCAGGGAAUAUUAAAUGUGAUAGUUGCAUGAAAUGUGCCCAAAGUGCCUAACUUACAUAUGCCAACCAUCCUUUGCCAGUUCCACACACCUGCUUUCUUUUUCCAGUUUCCAGAGAUCUGUCGUUCCUACAUUUUAAUCAGAGAAUUCUUCAGAAAGGCAUGCCCUAGUCAUGAAUUUUUUCACAGGUACUGAUCAGAAGCCUUGGCACUUGCACUGUUUUGCACCAAAUGUAUUCAUAAAGGCAUUGGGUCUUAUAAAACAAGGAUGAAUUAUAUUAGAUGUCCAUGUCUUCAAGUCAGACAGUAGAGCAAGUGGGAACCAAUGAUUUCAGCUGUUUAGAAGCAAAGAUGGUUUUGUAUGUGUCAGAGGGUCUCAAACCUGGGACUGUCUGGUGGAUACGGACAAAUAGGCUAAGUGUCCACAAGUGGUUAACAGGUACUCAAUAUUUAUUCAUUUAUUCCCUCGAAAGUGUAUCCUAAAACAUUCAAAUGACAGCUAAAAUUUAGUCGUGGCUUAUGCCAGAAUGCCGGUGACCUAGGAAAGUGACCCUGGUGGUCACCUACAUGUUGCUAUGUGUGUGCCCUCCAUCAAGUGUCUUAGGUCCUAACACCAUCCCCUUCUGGUUGCUACAUUCCAUGAGGGCAGGGAGCUCAUUUACUGGUGCACUGAGGGUACUUGUAAAUGUAGAUGUUGGAUGUUGCUGAUGGAGGGAUGGAUCGUCCCAACUUCUUCAAAGAGGAGAUGCUAUAGAAAGGAGACUCCCAGGGUGUAAGACACCAGGGGUGUAAAAAUAAGUGCCACUUCCCUUUGGAUUUUUGGCAGAAACUUUCCCUCUCAAAUUACUUAAGCACACACGUAAAAAGAAAAACUGGGUAAAGGAAGUGAGCUUCUUGGGUGACAUCAGUCCUGGCCAUAGUCUACCACAUU
rnacentral:lncRNA from 1 species